UCGAGAAUCUUUCACAAUGGGGGCAACCCUGAUGGAGCGACGCCGCGUGGAGGUUAAGGUCUUCGGAUUGUAAACUCCUGUCAUGCGAGAACAAAGCCCUCACGGGUGUGAUAGUAUCGCAAGAGGAAGAGACGGCUAACUCUGUGCCAGCAGCCGCGGUAAUACAGAGGUCUCAAGCGUUGUUCGGAAUUAUUGGGCGUAAAGGGCGCGUAGGCGGCCUGGUAAGUCAGACGUGAAAUCCCUCGGCUCAACCGAGGAACUGCGUUUGAAACUGCCGGGCUUGAGUCCCGGAGAGGGUAGUGGAAUUCCCAGUGUAGCGGUGAAAUGCGUAGAUAUUGGGAGGAACACCAGUGGCGAAGGCGACUACCUGGACGGGUACUGACGCUGAGGCGCGAAAGCAUGGGUAGCAAACAGGAUUAGAUACCCCCGUAGUCCCUGAGCGGGCUGGCAAGGCGCAU
rnacentral:rRNA from 1 species